rnacentral:rRNA from 1 species
AGGGUGUAAACGCUGCAGACUUGGUGUUGGAGGCCCUUUGGGGGCAUUCAGUGCCGGAGAGAAGUUGUUAAGUCUGCUACUUGGGGAGUACGUCCGCAAGGAUGAAACUUAAAGGAAUUGGCGGGGGAGCACCGCAACGGGAGGAGCGUGCGGUUUAAUUGGAUUCAACACCGUAAAACUCACCAGGGAAGACUGUUACAUGAAGGCCGAGAUGAAGACUCUGCUAGAUUUUCAGAGAGGUGGUGCAUGGCGUCAGUGACUU